rnacentral:lncRNA from 1 species
AAUUUAAGGUUUUUACUUCCCCCAAUCUUUUGUUUUUUUCUUGUUAAUUUCAAAUGUCAGUUUCUCUAAGACUGAAACUUACUCUCACCAUCAGCAUGCUACUCAGCUUCCCUAAAGCUGGAAGUCUCAGAAGCACCAGUGUGUCCUUUUCAAGGACCAUUUCUUUUCUAAAGAAUAUGGAAAUUGAACUCAGUCCUACGAGUGGCACUACUUCAAAAAUCAGGCAGGAAUGUUGCCUUUGUUUUUCCUUGAGCUACUUUUUUCCAAAAUAAUAAAUCUUCCUGAUCUGAAAGCAUUUCACGUACUUCUUCAUCCUCGUCAUUGGAAUUACAGCCAAAAUGUCUCUCAGUCUUCCCCAGUGACCUCAUAAUCACGACUUCUCCAGCAUAUUACCCUGGUUAACUUCUCUUUUGUUCCUCAGCCUGAUUAUAAAUUGGCCUUUGGUUCUGAGAUGUGUCAUUUGCCUCCCUGACCUCUUUGUUCCACUCCUGGUGGCGGGAGGACAGCACUGAUGCCCCUGCCCGUGGCUGCCUGGUUAUUGGUUCCCUCUCCUGCCUGUGUCAGCUUUCAUCUUCCCUUUUUCCAAGCA